AAAAGAGUUCCAGACAAUUAUGAGAGGAAAAACACCUUGUUACAAAAUCCAAACUUUACAGAUGGCGUUCUCAGAGAUAGAUCCAAAAUCGACUUCGGUUCUGGUUUUUGUUGAGGUCGAGUCGAUUGACCGGCGGCUAAACGACGUGUUAGAGAUGCACUAAACAAAGACAUAGUCCAUUGCCGAAAUCCUUUUAUUGUAUUGAUGUCGGCUUUUUUUUACAGUCUGUUGAAACUGUAUUCCAUCUUCGUCCUUUUUCGAUGUUGGCACAUGGUAGACUCCCUUUCCCGACCUUGCUUCUCGUUCUGCCUUCUCUACUCCGACUGCUUUAGUCUGUUAUCCAUUGUCCGACCCCCGAGAAAGUUUUUCACGAUUACUUUUAUACUACCUUGCGUAUCUUUAACCUUUCACCUCCGAGAAAGAUGACUGUACAUUAUUAUUCUGGACAUUAGUUUCAUACAACACCUGUAUACUUUAGUUGAUGUAAUUAGUUUGGGGAUAAGUGUCUACGGGCCGGACUUCAUGUUAUCGCGUACCACCUUGAGAUGUCUCUCUCUCUCUUUUUCUCCCUCACAUUCAUUUCUCCGUUUUCCUCUCUAGUAAUCUGAAAUUCGGGGGUGAAGAGAGAGAUAACAUAUCCGACCAGCGAUCCGGUCCCUCACACUUAUUGUUUAGCCCCGAACUAAAAUAAAUUCAGUACAGUACUUAAUACAAAUGAAGUAAUCUACAUAAUAAUAUUUAUAAAUCUGUAUGUAAAUAUAUACGUUAUAAUAUGAAAUGGCCGCCAUUCAUAUUUCAUUUCAAAUGGAAGAAUGGCUAAAUCGAUUUUUAUGAAAUAACCUGCCGAUAAUCCUGUGCUCUUCAUUGGAGAUUGUAGCUGUCAUUAUCACGUGUGAAAAAAAGAAACCGUCAUUAUUGUAGUAACAAAUUUCAUCUAGUUUCCAAAAUAGAAUUUUAUAGAAAUGUUCCAAUUAUUUAUAUGUCUACUGAUUUGUUGUUUAAUCUAUCAACUUUUUUCAAUCUGUGAAUACUUCAUUUUAUAUUUUUCACCAAUAUAUGUUUUUAUUAUAUAGAGCAGUGGUUCUUAAUUUGCAAUGCGAGAAAGUACUUUCGAAGGUGAGUAGCGUUCACCUGUGAGGAACUAGCCAAAGACUACGUCGACUUCUGAGACCUACAUUCUCUACAGGUCUGCCCACUCAGCCCCCACUUUCUCAGAAUUUCAAAUUUCCUAUACCAGAUUUAUGGGCUCUUAAUAUUGCGCAAUAAAAAUUUUGGGCAAUAUCCAUUUUUUGGGCG
rnacentral:lncRNA from 1 species